UGCGCGUCGGGAACUCGACGACGACAAAGAAAGGGGCGUGGGGGAAGAAAGAAGGACGACCGGCGUUCCGGAGCGUUCGUUCGUUUUCCCGGGUUAGGAAAGGAAAGAAGGGGGCGGGGUUUCGUUUCCCGCCCUUUUCGUCCUCCCUUCUUCUGGACCUCAGCUCAGGCGUGGCCACCC
rnacentral:misc_RNA from 1 species